CGUGUUUCGAGUUCCUCCGGAACACCCGGGAUUUUUCGUAUUUAGCCACGCCGGUCACGUGAUAUGAGCAAAAUGUUCCACAGGGGUACUUCCGGUUAAUUUUGUUUACACUGGUAACAAAAUUGUUUUUGACAAAAUAUAGAUUUUGCGGCACAAACUGUCGCAAAUCAGAUAAAGGAUAGCAAGGGAUAUAUAUUUACUUGGGAAGAUGUCAAAGUUUGCCUUUUCCCAAACCCGGGAAAAGCGUUCACGCAGAGGAAACGGUGGCGUCAUUUGUGUAGAAAACCACGAGCAGCCGAAAUUGAGUGCGAAUAUUACAUUCCGUGAAAGCUGAACCAACAAAGAAACAUCAUUGUUCUAGCCAGUUUCCUUAUAUUAACUUUUAGGAAAACCAAGAGGUUGAUAACAAUGGCUGAUCUGCAUAUAAUGACUGCUAGUUAUUGGCUGGUAUGCAGUGAAAGGGAGCUAAAAAGGAGUAAAAAGUUCAUAUCAGCCAGGUGAGAAUUAAUUUCUUCUUUUUUGUGUGUUAUACAUAUGUAAUUCUUUUCUUUUGCUGCUUCAAAUCUUGUGUAUUUGAAAAUUUUCAGUCUAAUAUUUUGGCAAUGUUAUAGGUAGUGUGGCUUAAAUAAACCACUGUUAAGGAAUAUCCAGUAAUGGCAUGACAUCAUGAGAGUUUGGCAUACCGACAUUCAGAUGAUUAAUGAUGAAACUGAAGACCUCAAGUGAAAGGCAUGGAAAAUGAUCCUGUUCCCAUAUACCUGAAAAAGAGGAGGGAUGCCACAAUAUUGAUAAUAGACUUUUGUCAAUUUGAGAAGCAAAGAUGUAAAAAAAAAAAAAAAAAAAAAUAAUGCUGAAAUUAUAAUUCAUGUAUUUGUUAAAAAUACUGUUCACUGUACAUACAUGUAUAUUUUUUAAAACUUAUUUUUAAAUACAUGAAGUAAUUCAUAUUAAAACUGUGAAUGUAUGAG